rnacentral:rRNA from 1 species
UAGCGACAGGCUUAACACAUGCAAGUCGAGGGGUAACAGGGUAGCAAUACCGCUGACGACCGGCGCACGGGUGAGUAACGCGUAUGCAACCUGCCUAUAACUGUGGAAUAGCUCCCUGAAAGGGGAAUUAACACCGCAUAACACUAUUGAUUCGCAUGGAUUGGUAGUUAAAUGUAGCGAUACAGGUUAUAGAUGGGCAUGCGUGACAUUAGCUAGUUGGUGAGGUAACGGCUCACCAAGGCUACGAUGUCUAGGGGUUCUGAGAGGAAGGUCCCCCACACUGGUACUGAGACACGGACCAGACUCCUACGGGAGGCAGCAGUGAGGAAUAUUGGUCAAUGGGCGCAAGCCUGAACCAGCCAUGUCGCGUGCAGGAAGACUGCCCUAUGGGUUGUAAACUGCUUUUAUAGUAGAAGAAACACAUCUACGUGUAGAUGUCUGCCAGUAUACUAUGAAUAAGCAUCGGCUAACUCCGUGCCAGCAGCGGC